rnacentral:rRNA from 1 species
CCUACGGGAGGCAGCAGUGAGGAAUAUUGGUCAAUGGCCGGAAGUCUGAACCAGCCAAGCCGCGUGAAGGAAGAAGGUGCCAAGCAUUGUAAACUUCUUUUGUCAAGGGACAAAAUCAGGCUCGAGAGCCUCACCGAGUGUACUUUAAGAAAAAGCAUCGGCUAACUCCGUGCCAGCAGCCGCGGUAAUACGUAGGGGGCAAGCGUUAUCCGGAUUUACUGGGUGUAAAGGGGGCGCAGACGGCGAUGCAAGCCAGGAGUGAAAGCCCGGGGCCCAACCCCGGGACUGCUCUUGGAACUGCUGGGCUGGAGUGCAGGAGGGGCAGGCGGAAUGCCUGGUGUAGCGGUGAAAUGCGUAGAGAUCAGGAGGAACACCGGUGGCGAAGGCGGCCUGCUGGACUGCAACUGACGUUGAGGCCCGAAAGCGUGGGGAGCAAACAGGAUUAGAUACCCGGGUAGUC